rnacentral:tRNA from 1 species
GGGGGAGUAGCCCAACCGGCAGAGGCAGGGGACUUAAAAUCCCCCCAGUGCGGGUUCGAAUCCCGCCUCCCCUACCG